AGUCGUAACAAGGUUUCCGUAGGUGAACCUGCGGAAGGAUCAUUAUCAUUUGUAUAUCACACUCACUCACUCAUAUAAGGAGUUUAACAGCUCCUUAUAUGUGUGUUUAACACCAAUGUGAACUUUUAUAAAGUCCAUAACCUCAAUUUUAACUCCAUUGUAACCUUAUUUUUGUUAGUUGUUUUAGGUUUGUAUGCUUGUCUUGUCAUACAUAACCCAAAAUAUAAUAAUCAAAAAUACAAUCUUUAACGAUGGAUAUCUCGGCUCGU
rnacentral:misc_RNA from 1 species